GGUGGCUCAGUGAUAGAGCACUUGUCUUGCAUGCAUGAGGCCCUGGGUUCCAUUCCUCAGCACCA
rnacentral:tRNA from 1 species